CCUACGGGCGGCUGCAGUGGGGAAUAUUGCACAAUGGGGGAAACCCUGAUGCAGCGACGCCGCGUGAGUGAAGAAGUAUCUCGGUACGUAAAGCUCUAUCAGCAGGGAAGAAAAUGACGGUACCUGACUAAGAAGCCCCGGCUAACUACGUGCCAGCAGCCGCGGUAAUACGUAGGGGGCAAGCGUUAUCCGGUGUUUAUGGGUGGAAAGGCACCGUAGACGGCAGCACAAGUCUGGGGGGAAAUCCCGGGGCUUAAACCCGGGAUUGCUUUGGAAACUGUGCGGCUGGAGUGAGAGAGGGGUAAGCGGAAUUCCAAGUGAAGCGGUGAAAUGCGUAGAUAUUAGGAAGAACACCGGAGGCGAAGGCGGCUUACUGGGCUUAAACUGACGUUGAGGCACGAAAGCGUGGGGAGCAAACAGGAUUAGAUACCCGAGUAGUC
rnacentral:rRNA from 1 species